CUUUACUGUCAGAGGAAAAUUGGAAGUGAACAAGAUUUUUGCAGAGAUUUUCCCUGGUCAAGAGUGCAACAUGAGUCGUGGAUAUGAACUUGACUGUCAGAUGUACAUUGAUUGGAAAGUGAACAAGAUAUCUGCACUGAGAAUGAAUGAAGUUGAAGAAAGUU